GAGCCGGGCUGGCCCUGCCAGGCGCUGGGCUCCCCUGGAAGCUAGUCCCGAGCGGAGGGCUCUAUUGUUAUUUAUUGUGCGGCUGUUGCACGCUGUGCCUGCUGCCCAGGCUCGGCGCAUGGGGCUUGCCCGGCUAGAGUACAGGGAGGGACGGGCAGGCAGACUCACCCGCGCUGGGGGGAGCCCGUAGUGGGCACCGACAGGCCGUCUCCAGCGGAGCCCAAAGUUUUGCCUGCCGGAGCAGCAGCAGCAUUUGCUGAGGAGCUGUGUACUGGCGAUCAUUCACUCAGAGCCUUUCUCACUGCUAUCUCUCGUCAAUCUCCUGAGAACUACUUUCUGAGUGAUUCCAGCUUCCGAACAUGUUUCCCAUGGUAGGGGUUUUGAUCCCUUGCCAGAUUUGCCCUGAGCCAUGAGUGAAUAUGUGUAAUGCUCACAAGUAAAACUGUUUCCCAGUUAAAUCUGCUUUGAUGUAGAUGUUUUCCAUUCUUCCUAUGAGCCUGCUAACGGAAUUAUUUUAUUCACAUCUGCCUGUGAAGGUAGUAGAUUGUAAAUGGUGAGUAAGGUUUUAAUUGCAUGGCCCUUAGCAAAGACCCCAGUUCAGCAAGCUACAUAAGCAUGUACUUACAUUUUAAGCACACAGGUAAUUCCAUAAAUCAGUGGGAUACAAAUGUUUGAAGGUAGGCAUAUGCCAAAGUACCUUGCUGAAUCGUGGCCAAAAUGGAAUUGGCAAAGUAAAACUCAUGUACCAUUAUAAACUUUUGUAUUAACUUAUAUAUGGCAAAUUUUUAAUAAAAAA